rnacentral:rRNA from 1 species
GACGAACGCUGGCGGCGUGCCUAAUACAUGCAAGUUGAGCGCUGAAGGUUGGUACUUGUACCAACUGGAUGAGCAGCGAACGGGUGAGUAACGCGUGGGGAAUCUGCCUUUGAGCGGGGGACAACAUUUGGAAACGAAUGCUAAUACCGCAUAAAAACUUUAAACACAAGUUUUAAGUUUGAAAGAUGCAAUUGCAUCACUCAAAGAUGAUCCCGCGUUGUAUUAGCUAGUUGGUGAGGUAAAGGCUCACCAAGGCGAUGAUACAUAGCCGACCUGAGAGGGUGAUCGGCCACAUUGGGACUGAGACACGGCCCAAACUCCUACGGGAGGCAGCAGUAGGGAAUCUUCGGCAAUAGACGAAAGUCUGACCGAGCAACGCCGCGUGAGUGAAGAAGGGUUUCGGAUCGUAAAACUCUGUUGGCAGAGAAGAACGUUGGUGAGAGUGGAAAGCUCAUCAAGUGACGGUAACUACCCAGAAAGGGACGGCUAACUACGUG